rnacentral:rRNA from 1 species
CAGUAGCCGCGGUAAUACGAAGGGUGCAAGCGUUACUCGGAAUUACUGGGCGUAAAGCGUGCGUAGGUGGUGGUUUAAGUCCGUUGUGAAAGCCCUGGGCUCAACCUGGGAAUUGCAGUGGAUACUGGGUCACUAGAGUGUGGUAGAGGAUAGUGGAAUUUCCGGUGUAGCAGUGAAAUGCGUAGAGAUCGGAAGGAACAUCUGUGGCGAAGGCGACUAUCUGGGCCAACACUGACACUGAGGCACGAAAGCGUGGGGAGCAAACAGGAUUAGAUACCCCAGUAGUCCCUGUCUCUUAUAU